UCUAAUAGCCUGUGUCUUUGUGCUUCCUCCAGAAGCUGUUCUAUUGUGUAAGACAACAAACACCUGGGAGGUGCUGCUGUCAGACCAAUCAGUUACUAACUUUGACCUAUGUCAUAUUCUUGUUCUAGAAGUAUCUAUCAGUUUGCUUUCUCCAGGUGUUACUUAUCUUCCCUGGCUGGAAUUAUGGACCUACACAUUUGGCAAGUUCAUUCUACUACAUGGUGUAGUAGUAGACCAUGGCAAGAACCUUAAACUUACUACCUUACCAGUCAUUGAAUCUACAUAAGACAAGACAAGACAUGACAUGACAUCUAGCAAAAAUAGUAUGGUAUGAGUUUAUUCUACUACCCGGUAUAGAAGACCAUGUAAUGAACAUUCAACAACUUCCUACCUUACCAUACUCAGCUCCAGACAUGCUAUUAGCAGAAGUCUUGACAUCUUGCCAAAAUCAUAUGAUCCUCACUUCUGCACUUUGUUCUGUGAAGUAAUCAACAGUUUCCACUAUGAAAAUCUCUGGCAACAUGAAAACCUACCCGGGCUCCAUUGUCCCAGUUACAAAAGUUUAAACAUUUUUAUUUUUUUUCUUACAUAAAAUAUACAUGUCUUC